GGGGGAAGAUCUAACCAGCAAGAACUGCUAAUUCCUGCCUCCGAGCUUUAAACCUCGGCCCCCUU
rnacentral:tRNA from 1 species